rnacentral:misc_RNA from 1 species
AAGUCGUAACAAGGUAACCGUAGGUGAACCUGCGGUUGGAUCAUUACUAAAGUAAUAGGCCAUAAUAAGGUCUUUCCAACAUCUUGUGAACCGUUUCUUGUGUGCUUCGGUACGCAAACUAUUUUAACUAUUUUUUUGUCUAACUUUUUUUAUUAAAAAAAUAAAAAACAACUUUUGACAACGGAUCUCUAGGCUCUCA